ACACCUUACGCUGUUCCGAGGGAAUAAUUCUGCAGCUUUCACUCCGAUUCUCAAUUGAACCGACAUCCUCUGGGGGCUCCCCGGCUGCGGGAACGGGAUGUAAUCUUAAGUGUAUUUUUCCCCCCUUGCAUGGCUUUGCGAAGAGCGGCAAUGAAGGCGAAAUCCGACACCUACAACAUGCGGCUGCUGCUGCUGGUUGUCCUGCUGUGGGACCCGGCCAGGUUGGUGCUGGCUAACAUCCAAGAAGAUGAGGCUAAAAAUAACAUUACCAUCUUUACAAGGAUUCUAGACAGACUUCUGGAUGGUUACGAUAAUCGGCUUAGACCAGGACUGGGAGACAGUAUUACUGAAGUCUUCACUAACAUCUACGUGACCAGUUUUGGCCCUGUCUCAGACACAGAUAUGGAAUAUACAAUUGAUGUUUUUUUUCGGCAAAAAUGGAAAGAUGAACGGUUAAAAUUUAAAGGUCCUAUGAACAUUCUUCGACUUAACAAUUUAAUGGCUAGCAAAAUCUGGACCCCUGAUACCUUCUUUCACAAUGGGAAAAAAUCAGUGGCUCAUAAUAUGACAAUGCCAAACAAGCUUCUUCGAAUCCAGGAUGAUGGGACUCUGCUGUACACAAUGAGGCUUACGGUUCAAGCUGAAUGUCCAAUGCAUUUGGAGGAUUUUCCUAUGGAUGCUCAUUCAUGUCCUCUGAAAUUUGGCAGCUAUGCAUAUACAACCUCAGAGGUCACUUAUAUUUGGACUUACAAUGCAUCUGAUUCAGUACAAGUUGCUCCUGAUGGCUCUAGGUUAAAUCAGUAUGAUCUGCUGGGCCAAUCAAUUGGGAAGGAAACAAUUAAAUCCAGUACAGGUGAAUAUACCGUAAUGACAGCUCAUUUCCACUUGAAAAGAAAAAUUGGGUAUUUUGUGAUUCAGACAUAUCUGCCUUGCAUCAUGACUGUCAUUCUCUCCCAAGUGUCAUUCUGGCUUAACAGAGAAUCUGUGCCUGCAAGAACUGUGUUCGGAGUAACAACUGUUCUAACAAUGACAACUCUAAGCAUCAGUGCUCGGAAUUCCCUCCCCAAAGUGGCAUAUGCAACUGCCAUGGACUGGUUUAUUGCUGUUUGUUAUGCAUUUGUGUUCUCUGCCCUAAUUGAAUUUGCAACUGUUAACUACUUCACCAAAAGAGGAUGGGCUUGGGAUGGGAAGAGUGUAGUAAAUGACAAGUCCCCUUCAAUAAAAGCUGAAGGCAUUACAUUAACAUACAACUCCGUGAAGGCAAUUCUUCAAGGAGCUAAGCUAAUAUGGUCCAAGUAUAUAGCUUUCUCAUGGCCCAAUUUAAUCCAAGGAAAGACUUUAGAGUACUUAGAGAAGUGGAUGGACUGUAUAACCUUCAAACAAUCUUCUAAAAAAGAAAAAGCCUCUGUCAUGAUACAGAACAAUGCUUACGCGGUGGCUGUUGCCAAUUAUGCCCCGAAUCUUUCAAAAGACCCAGUUCUGUCCACCAUCUCCAAGAGCGCAACCACGCCAGAACCCAAUAAGAAGCCGGAAAACAAGCCAGCGGAAGCCAAGAAAACCUUCAACAGUGUAUGUGUUGUAUCGAAAUUGAUCAGCUAAAUUUUCUUGGUGCUGGAGACUGGACAAAGCAUCCAGCUUGGCUGCUGUGGAGCAACGUUCAUACUGGAUUAGAAAAGUGUGCCAAAAACUCCCACCGUGUGAUUCUAUUAUGUGCUUUGCAUGACUGUAUUAAUACCAAGGUCACAAAAUGCAUCUUAUUAACAGAAUUUGCCGUGAAGACAGCCUCGACAUUAAAAAUUCCCUCACCAAAGGUAAUCCAUAAUCCUUAAUAAAAUUGUUACAUGAGCUAAUAAAUGUAUUUCUUUAAUUCCCUUCCAGUUAGAGCUUCUUUCUCAUCUAAAUAGUUUUAACAUGUGCACUUUAUUUAUACAUUGAAAUGGAACAUAUCCUAUUUUCCUACACAUUUAAGUAUAGCCUAGACCCUCUGUAGAGUUUAGGAAAGUGUGCAAGAGUCUAAGAAAGUGCACCAUGCUUUUGAGGGCAAGCAAUAAAAAUGCUCUGUAUGGUAUGCAUUAUUAGACACUUUAAAAAUAUUGUUCUUAUAAGUUAUGCAUUUCCCCCUUUUUUAUUUUUUAUUUUUUUAUACAUUUCCCCCUUAAUGUCGGACUAUAAAUUACAAAUUUAUAAGUGUGUACAUAUGUAAAAAAUAGUUGUAAAUAGCAGUUUCUGUGUGACAACAGAAAAGACUCAUCUUUACCUUUGACAAAGGGCUGCACCUACAUUGAUGGCACCAGUUUUAUUAACAUUUAUGGUAGAUUGGCCAGAAAAGUUAUCGUCAUUCUUAUUUUUAGUUUCAAUAGCCAAAAUCCCAUUCGAGCUUAAAAAUAUCCUUAAAGUUCAGAUCUUCAGGUAAUGUAGAUCAGAAUUUUCUCUUAUUUUGCCACUUUGCUGUGUUUUUUAAUGCACUUCUUAAUCUUUUAAAGUUUAGAUAAAUCAAAGGGAGCUUUUGGUCUUACUGGAGAGAGGGAGGCUGCUCCAUGGAAAAUGAUUUUAAAUUAUAGAAAGAACCAUCGUGUUUACAAUUAUUCUCCCUUCCAUAAACUGGUCUGAAGAUGCAAAAUAAAAGUGACAUGAAUUUAUUAAAAUAAGACCAACUUUUCAGGAAAUACAUUUUUAAUAAACCAACAGAGGUCUCCUUGGCCCAUAAUAUGAUGCCUAUUUUAUGCAGUUGUAUCUUGACAUAAAGAGUUAUGGUAUGUACAAAAUGUAGAUAAAUACAUGUGCAUAUACAGAGAUAAAGUCUCCUUAUUGUAUAGCUGCUGCUCUGAUUCAGCUAAUAUUUAUUCAACAAAUAUUUUUUUACCUCCUACUAUGUCCAUGCCAUGGGGGAUGAUGUUACUAACAUUCAUAUCACACCCACAGAAUUUAGUUGAAAAUUAAAGUCCAUCUUUUUCUAAAGACCUAAGAUCAAAGGCUAAAUGGAACACAUGAAUUAAUUUAGCACUGAGAGUUGUUCAAAUAAGUUAUAAGAUCAUGAGUGUGUUACGAUAGUGGCUGCUUUGUUUUUUCCUCCUAUUUGUGUUCCUAUUUUUUAAAACAAAAAUGGAACAAAUAUAACCAUUUAGUAGUGAUUUUAAACGUCAGUGAUUUUUAAAAUGCCAGUGUUACUAUUUAGCUAUCUUCAGGGAUCUCUCUCGAAUUUAUCUCAGGUGUGGAUAAGUGAUCCCUUCAGUGAUAUUUCCUUUUUUUUUUUUUUUCCUAAAUGUUUCACGGUUUAUUUAAAAAGAACACAGACGCUAUUAUCUCACUCAUAUUUUUGUUAUAUCUCCCUUGUGUGUUUAUGAUGCGAUUCUUUUUAUAUUCCUGGCUAGGGAACUGAACUCUGUCUGCUAUGGUAUCAUAGAUUCUAGAGGGGCGCCAACGCUCUGUGAAUACUGUACUUUGGCGUGGCCUGGUAUCAUUUCAAUGGGAGGACAAGGGAAGUAAGUCAAGUCACCUUUUGCAAAGUCAUGGUUCUUCAGCAUCUAUUAAGACUUUUCAAAUGCUCCAUUCCUGAUGUCUCAGACAAUGCCAAUGAAACACUGAAAUGUUUAUUAUUCAACUUGAAAUCCGAGACCAUGUCAAUAGGUUUAUUAAUAUGAAUAGGUUUACCAAACACCAAACUGUAUAGGUUGUCCCUGUUGUUAGUCUUCUGGCAUUCCUACAUGCAUUUGUGUAUUUUUGAAGCAAUUUGAAGAUUUUUUUUUUCAUAUAAAAGAUUCAGAAUUUCAAGGGAAUCAAGCUGAUCCAUUGCUACCCUGUAGUACAUUUAUUUUCAUUUUUUUAAAAUUUAAAUUCAAUUAAUUAACAUAUAGUGUAUGAUUAGUUUCAGAGGUAGAGGUCAGUGACUCAUCAAUUGCGUAGAACACCCAGGGCUCAUUACAU